GACGAACGCUGGCGGCGUGCCUAAUACAUGCAAGUCGAGCGGAUGAAAGAGGAGCUUGCUCCUCUAGAUUCAGCGGCGGACGGGUGAGUAACACGUGGGCAACCUGCCCUGUAGAUUGGGAUAACUCCGGGAAACCGGGGCUAAUACCGAAUAAUCCUUCGGACCUCAUGGUCCGAUGUUGAAAGACGGUUUCGGCUGUCACUACAGGAUGGGCCCGCGGCGCAUUAGCUAGUUGGUGAGGUAACGGCUCACCAAGGCCACGAUGCGUAGCCGACCUGAGAGGGUGAUCGGCCACAAUGGGACUGAGACAAGGCCCAGACUCCUACGGGAGGCAGCAGUAGGGAAUCUUCCACAAUGGACGAAAGUCUGAUGGAGCAACGCCGCGUGAGUGAAGAAGGUUCUCGGAUCGUAAAACUCUGUUGUGAGGGAAGAACAAGUACCGGAGUAACUGCCGGUGCCUUGACGGUACCUCAUUAGAAAGCCACGGCUAACUACGUGCCAGCAGCCGCCGUAA
rnacentral:rRNA from 1 species